AUUGUGUGGAUCUCGCCUA
rnacentral:siRNA from 1 species